rnacentral:rRNA from 1 species
GAUGAACGCUGGCUACAGGCUUAACACAUGCAAGUCGAGGGGAAACGCCGGGGACGCUUGCUUCUCAGGGCGUCGACGGGCGCACGGGUGAGUCAUGCGUAACCAACCUGCCUCUGACUGAGGGCUACCCCGUCGCAAGUCGGCCUCAUAACUAAUGGCUUCGUCUGCGGGCAUACAACGACGAUUCAAUAUUUCAUCGGCCAGUGAUUGGACGGCGACGGAUUAGCUUGUUGGUAAGGUUACGGCCUAACCAGGCGACGAUGCGUAGGGGAUCUGAGAGGGUGAUCAGCCACACUGGAACUGAGACACGGCACAGACUCCUCCGGGAGGCAGCAGAAGGGAAUCUUACGCAAUGCGCGAAAGCCUGACGGGGAACCGCCGAGUGAGUGAUGAAGGUCUUCGGAUAGUAGAACUCUGCUAUUAGGGAAGAACAAAUGUGUAAGUAACGAUGCACGUAUUGACGGUACCUAAUCAGAAAGCAACGGCUAACUCCGUG